UACGGAGGGAGCUAGCGUUGUUCGGAAUUACUGGGCGUAAAGCGCGCGUAGGCGGCUUUGUAAGUUAGAGGUGAAAGCCCGGGGCUCAACCCCGGAACUGCCUUUAAAACUGCAUCGCUUGAAUCCGGGAGAGGUGAGUGGAAUUCCGAGUGUAGAGGUGAAAUGCGCAGAUAUCAGGAGGAACACCAAUGGCGAAGGCAGCUCGCUGGGACGGUACUGACGCUGAGGCGCGAAAGCGUGGGGAGCAAACAGG
rnacentral:rRNA from 1 species